UAUUAGUCAAUGCUCGCAAGAGUGAACUAGCUAACUGAAAUCAUCGAUGUGUCAUUGAUGAUAACGUAAGGGAAAAUAAUGAUAUUACCUUACUAUUAGUGUCGUCCAAAUACUCGUGCCAGAAGACUCGGUAAGGCGAGAGACGCAAACGUUAGUCGUCUUGAUCAGGCGUAAAGGGUUUGUAGGCUGCUCUAAGAAUUUAACUUAAGAAAUUUACUUUAAAUUUAUAUAAUAAAAUAUAUUUAUUUAAUACUUAUUUUUAAAUCAUUUAGAGCUAGAAUCAAAAAGAGGUUAAGAUAUUUAAUGCUUAGUGUAAGGUUGAAAUCCAUAAAUAUUAAGUAGAAAACUAUGGGCGAAGGCUUUUUUCCAAUAAUGAUUGACGCUGAGAAACUAAGGUGAGGACAGAAAAAAGGAUUAGAGACCCUCGUAUUCCUCACUGUCAACAAUGAAUGGAAGUUACUAGUAAAAAAUACUAGAGGCGAUGUUAACACGAAAAACCAUUCCGCCUUGUGAGUACGACUGCAAAGUUGAAAACAAAAAAAUUAGUCGGUUUCGGAGCAAACGAAGUGAAGCAUGUUAUUU
rnacentral:rRNA from 1 species